rnacentral:rRNA from 1 species
UACGUAGGGUGCAAGCGUUGUCCGGAAUUAUUGGGCGUAAAGAGCUCGUAGGCGGUUUGUCGCGUCUGCUGUGAAAACUCAGGGCUUAACCCUGAGCCUGCAGUGGGUACGGGCAGACUAGAGUGUGGUAGGGGAGAUCGGAAUUCCUGGUGUAGCGGUGGAAUGCGCAGAUAUCAGGAGGAACACCGGUGGCGAAGGCGGAUCUCUGGGGCCAAUAACUGACGCUGAGGAGCGAAAAGCUGGGGAGCGAACGG